GAUGAACGCUAGCGGGAGGCCUAACACAUGCAAGCCGAGCGGUAUUGUUUCUUCGGAAAUGAGAGAGCGGCGUACGGGUGCGGAACACGUGUGCAACCUGCCUUUAUCUGGGGGAUAGCCUUUCGAAAGGAAGAUUAAUACUCCAUAAUAUAUUGAACGGCAUCGUUUAAUAUUGAAAGCUCCGGCGGAUAGAGAUGGGCACGCGCAAGAUUAGCUAGUUGGUGAGGUAACGGCUCACCAAGGCAAUGAUCUUUAGGGGGCCUGAGAGGGUGAUCCCCCACACUGGUACUGAGACACGGACCAGACUCCUACGGGAGCAGCAGUGAGGAAUAUUGGUCAAUGGGUGCAAGCCUGAACCAGCCAUCCCGCGUGAAGGACGACGGCCCUAUGGGUUGUAAACUUCUUUUGUAUAGGGAUAAACCUUUCCACGUGUGGAAAGCUGAAGGUACUAUACGAAUAAGCACCGGCUAACUCCGUGCCAGCAGCCGCGGUAAUAGUACUCUA
rnacentral:rRNA from 1 species